CAUAUGAUCUCAAAUCAGGCAAGAUAACCCGCUGAACUUAAGCAUAUUAAUAAGCGGAGGAAAAGAAACUAACAAGGAUUCCCCUAGUAACGGCGAGUGAAGCGGGAACAGCUCAAAUUUAAAAUCUCCUCGGAGAAUUGUAGUUUAUGAAAGCGCUACCGAUGGAGGCCUGGGUACAAGUUCUUUGGAACAAGACAUCAUAGAGGGUGAGAAUCCCGUCUUUGACCCAGGACCCUUCACACUACGAUGCGUCUUUUAAGAGUCGGGUUGUUUGGGAUUGCAGCCCUAAAUUGGUGGUAUAUUCCAUCUAAAGCUAAAUAUUGGCGAGAGACCGAUAGCGAACAAGUACCGUGAGGGAAAGAUGAAAAGAACUUUGAAAAGAGAGUUAAAAGUACGUGAAAUUGCUAAAAGGGAAACAUUUGACACCAGUAUUUGGGAGUCGGAAAUCAGCCUCUUCGGGGGUGCACUUUCCGGCUACCAGGUCAACAUCAGUUCCGGCUGCCGUAAAAAAGCCAAGAGAAGGUAGGUGGUAAUUCACUGUUAUAGCUCUGGCCAAUGCGGUGGGUGGGACUGAGGAGUGCGGCGCAUGCCUUUGGCUGGGUUCGCGGCAGCUGUUUGGGACGGGGUUAUGGACAGCUUGCUGACCAUGGCACCACUCCCAUGCACCCUGCCGUAGGGCCACAAAUGCGCCUAGGAUGUUGACGAAAUGGUGUUAAAUGACCCGUCUUGAAACACGGACCAAGGAGUCUAACAUAUAUGCGAGUAUUUGGGUGACAAGCCCAUAUGCGUAAUGAAAGUGAACGUAGGUGUGAGGGGCAACCCGCAACAUCGACCGAUCUUGAU
rnacentral:rRNA from 1 species